UACGAAGGGGGCUAGCGUUGCUCGGAAUCACUGGGCGUAAAGCGCACGUAGGCGGCUUUUUAAGUCAGAGGUGAAAUCCUGGAGCUCAACUCCAGAACUGCCUUUGAUACUUGAGAGCUUGAGUCCGGGAGAGGUGAGUGGAACUGCGAGUGUAGAGGUGAAAUUCGUAGAUAUUCGCAAGAACACCAGUGGCGAAGGCGGCUCACUGGCCCGGUACUGACGCUGAGGUGCGAAAGCGUGGGGAGCAAACAGG
rnacentral:rRNA from 1 species